rnacentral:rRNA from 1 species
UACGUAGGGCGCAAGCGUUGUCCGGAAUUAUUGGGCGUAAAGAGCUCGUAGGCGGUUUGUCGCGUCUGCUGUGAAAACUCGGGGCUUAACUCCGGGCCUGCAGUGGGUACGGGCAGACUAGAGUGCGGUAGAGGAUCGCGGAAUUCCCGGUGUAGAGGUGAAAUUCGUAGAUAUCGGGAGGAACACCGGUGGCGAAGGCGGCGAUCUGGGUCGAUACUGACGCUGAGGUGCGAAAGCGUGGGGAGCAAACAGG